UUUAAACACCCUUAGAGUUUGAUCCUGGCUCAGGAUGAACGCUGGAGGCGUGCUUAACACAUGCAAGUCGAACGGGAAUUACUUUAUUGAAACUUCGGUCGAUUUAAUUUAAUUCUAGUGGCGGACGGGUGAGUAACGCGUGGGUAACCUGCCUUAUACAGGGGGAUAACAGUCAGAAAUGGCUGCUAAUACCGCAUAAGCGCACAGAGCUGCAUGGCUCAGUGUGAAAAACUCCGGUGGUAUAAGAUGGACCCGCGUUGGAUUAGCUAGUUGGUGGGGUAACGGCCCACCAAGGCGACGAUCCAUAGCCGGCCUGAGAGGGUGAACGGCCACAUUGGGACUGAGACACGGCCCAGACUCCUACGGGAGGCAGCAGUGGGGAAUAUUGCACAAUGGGGGAAACUCUGAUGCAGCGACGCCGCGUGAAGGAAGAAGUAUCUCGGUAUGUAAACUUCUAUCAGCAGGGAAGAUAGUGACGGUACCUGACUAAGAAGCCCCGGCUAACUACGUGCCAGCAGCCGCGGUAAUACGUAGGGGGCAAGCGUUAUCCGGAUUUACUGGGUGUAAAGGGAGCGUAGACGGUGUGGCAAGUCUGAUGUGAAAGGCAUGGGCUCAACCUGUGGACUGCAUUGGAAACUGUCAUAC
rnacentral:rRNA from 1 species